CCACGCCGUAAACGAUGUCUACUAGCUGUAGGGGUACUUUGAAGACCUUUGUAGCGCAGCUAACGCACUAAGUAGACCGCCUGGGGGAGUACGGCCGCAAGGUUAAAACUCAAAUGAAUUGACGGGGGCCCCGCACAAGCAGUGGAGCAUGUGGUUUAAUUUCGAUGCAACGCGAAGAACCUUACCAGGCCUUGACAUCCUCGGAACUUUCUAGAAAUAGAUUGGUGCCUUCGGGAACCGAGUGACAGGUGCUGCAUGGCUGUUGUCAGCUCGUGUCGUGAGAUGUUGGGUUAAGUCCCGUAACGAGCGCAACCCUUGUCCUUAGUUGCCAGCACAUAAUGGUGGGAACUCUAAGGAGACUGCCGGUGACAAACCGGAGGAAGGUGGGGACGACGUCAAGUCAUCAUGGCCCUUACGGCCUGGGCUACACACGUGCUACAAUGGCUAGGACAGACGGCCGCAAACCCGCGAGGGGGAGCUAAUCCGACAAACCUAGUCGUAGUCCGGAUCGGAGUCUGCAACUCGACUCCGUGAAGUCGGAAUUGCUAGUAAUCGCGAAUCAGAAUGUCGCGGUGAAUACGUUCCCGGGCCUUGUACACACCGCCCGUCACACCAUGGGAGUGGGUUGCUCCAGAAGUGGUUAGUCUAACCUUCGGGAGGACGAUCACCACGGAGUGAUUCAUGACUGGGGUGAAGUCGUAACAAGGUAGCCCUAGGGGAACCUGGGGCUG
rnacentral:rRNA from 1 species